rnacentral:lncRNA from 13 species
GGGGAAAUCUGCAGGGGGACUUUUGAGAAAGGUUUUCUCACUCUAAUAAGUAGCCCAGGAAGAGAUGGUUUCUCUUCUUUGUCCAGCUGUGAUGCCUGGGAACUUCUGUGGCCACCUUGCUUCCAGCCAAUACACAGAGUAGGGCAACUCUCAGAAAACCCCCAAGAAGAGAAUUGGAGUGUGAAAUACACUGCCUGGAAUCCUGUCUUCCCAACUUUGGGCUUCCGGAUCUAUCAGGAUGUGAGAAGGAAGCAGUCUAUAACCUGGAAGAGGAGGACCCUCACCAGAACCUCACCAUGUCGCCACCCUGAUCUCAGGUUUCCAGCCUCCAGAAGCAUGAGAAACAGCUGGGGAUCCUCACUGACCAGUGAAUAAGCCUGUGGGGCAGAUGGAGAUGAGCAAAUCUUGGGGAACACGACUGUAAAGCCAAUGAGUGCAACAGCUUCUCCUGCAACUAUGUGGAUGCAAGAAGGAUAAAUGAUCAGUGAUAAAGGACUCAAUGCAAAGGAGAAUGAGUGGAAAUAAGGGCGUGGCUUUAAGGCCGCUGUGUAUCACCACGUGGGUUGUGUGUUGCACAAUUCUAGGAGGCCCAUCAUCAUAGACCGUGACAUGGUUAAGCUGUGGCCCUGGUCCCGCCUCUGGUCUGGUCUCUGAAAGGAAGAAAGUGAAGGGAAUGGCAGAAAGCUCUGAAUUCUGUGAAUUGUGAAUUCUCCCAAAUCUCUCUAGAAACCAAAUUGUUUCCAUAAUUCUUUAUGAGGAGGCUUUUGAAACUCAAAGGCUGAGAAUUGAUUUUAUCUUCUGUGUCAACCUUUCUCUAAGGCAACGAGUGAUGACUCACCUGGUUUGGACCAGGAGAGAAAUCCAGGCUGGAGGAAAGUAUGGGGAGAGGAGUAGAAAUCAUUGGUUAAUAUUUCAAAAUCUUAGCCUGCAACAAAUGUACCCAGAAAGUCCAUGCCAAGCAAUAUAAAUACUCUUAAAAGCAAAGCAAUAAUUCUGCUUAAAUUGGAGUAGGAAAUGAGGAAAAGCUGGAGAAAGCUCCCCAAGGAGGGUG